CUGACGAGUGGCGGACGGGUGAGUAACACGUGGGUGAUCUGCCCUGCACUUCGGGAUAAGCUUGGGAAACUGGGUCUAAUACCGGAUAGGAGCUCCUGCUGCAUGGUGGGGGUUGGAAAGUUUCGGCGGUUGGGGAUGGACUCGCGGCUUAUCAGCUUGUUGGUGGGGUAGUGGCUUACCAAGGCUUUGACGGGUAGCCGGCCUGAGAGGGUGACCGGCCACAUUGGGACUGAGAUACGGCCCAG
rnacentral:rRNA from 1 species